UCGGAUGUGGUGUAAAGGCAACACUGCAGUUUAAAGUGGGCAAUACACCUUAAGCUUUAAAGCUGUCAAUCCAGGUUCGACUCUUGGUAUCCGAC